rnacentral:tRNA from 3 species
UCCCGGAUCGUCUAGCGGCAGGACACUUGGUUUUGGUCCAAGGAACCGGGGUUCGAAUCCCUGUCCGGGAGCCA